rnacentral:rRNA from 1 species
CGCCUGUUUAUCAAACAUAGCCCUAAGAUAAAAUUAUUUAGGGUAAAACCUGCCCAGUGAGGAUAGUCUCUUAAACGGCCGCGGUACCUUGACCGUGCUAAGGUAGCAUAAUCAUUUGACUUUUAAAUGAAGUCUGGAAUGAACGGAUUAAUUAUUGGGGUUAAGCUGUCUCUUUCUUAAUCUAUUUAAAUUACUAAUUAGGUGAAAAGGCCUAAAAAAGACAAAAGACGAGAAGACCCUGAGAGUUUUAAUUAAGAAUUUUUGUUGGGGCGACAAAAGGACAUGUGUUUAGUAAACUCCUUUGUUAUAAGUUUAUAAGUCGAAUAUUAUUAAGAACAGAUAAACUACCUCAGGGAUAACAGCAUAAUCUAAUAUGGGUUUGUGACCUCGAUGUUGGACUAGGAAGCUUAAAGGUUAGCCGCUUUUAAGUUAGGUUCUGUUCGAACUUUUAUAUCCUACGUGAUCUGAGUUCAGACCG